rnacentral:rRNA from 1 species
AACCACCUCCAUGUGAGUUUGUGGGUGGGGGCAGAGAUCGUAUCGAAACCCCCAUGCAGGAAACUCGUGGGCGGCGGGUCAGGGAGGGCAGGCUUUGAGCACCAAGUGUGACUCUCUGUCUUCGGCUCCCUGUCCCCGUCGCCAUUGCUUACCCUGUCAAAGGAUCUUCCUUUACAUGACUUCUCAAGUGGAUUUCCACUUAUUCACUUACAACUUUACAGCGACGGAUGUCUCGGCUCGAACAACGAUGAAGGGCGCAGCGAAGUGUGAUAAGCAUUGUGAAUUGCAGAAUUCCGUGAACCAAUAGGGAUUUGAACGUACACUGCGCUUUCGGGACAUCCCUGAAAGCAUGCUUGCUUGAGUGUCUACUCCAUCUAAUGCCAGUGGCUAAAUCCUCCCUGCGGGGGUUGGCCAACUUGUGCGUAUCUGUGUGUUAGGGCGCAACUUGUUGCCCCUGACGCAUUCAAUGUAUGGGGAUUCUUUGCUAUGCACAACUUGCUAAGUGUCUUCUGACGCCUCCUGUUGCUGCAUUGGUGAAGGUAACCCUUCCAUCCAUAGUC